CAUCGUGAGGUGGAAUCUGAAGGAAGCCUGCGGCAAAUAUCUGGUCUGACGUACAGAAACUUGAUAUUAAGGCUUAAGGAUGUGGAUAAGUUUGCUAAACAAAACGAAGUCCUAUAGUUGUCCGGAACAUCCAAAGUAAAUCAAGCAGACAUAAGAUGGAAAGAAUA
rnacentral:ncRNA from 1 species